UCCACUAUAAGUGUUCUCUGAGUGUUGUGUAGCUGCAGCAACCAGUGACCACCAUUCUUAACCAGCUUCCUAUUGCUCCCAGAGCAGCGAGACCCACACCUGACAUACAAAUACCAAGAAGUCAUGGACAAACUGACAAAGGGCGUGCCUAAUGUCAGAGAGGAACACUGCUCGGAACACUAAAUCAAAUGCUGACAACCUAUAAGACACACUGGAGACGUGCAUGUGAAAGCUGUCGGGAAGAGAAUCCCACUGCAGUGUAUUCUUAUGCUGAUUUCCGUGUCCUUGGCAACCGGGGUCUUCCGUAUUACACCUGUGAAUACCACUUCUGGGUUCAGGGCAAGACUGCUUACAAUGGGGUGUAGCGGCUAUCCACCUCUACCUGUGUGUGUGUGUGUGUGUGUGUGUGUGUGUGUGUGUGUUUGUGUACUUGAGCACCAUGACCAAAAAAAAGAAACUGGGACAUUUUGGCAGUCCUAUUCUACAAUUUGGAAACGUAAAUGAUAAUGUGUGUAGACCAAAAUAUUUGUACAUUUUUUUUAAUGUAAUUUAGAUUAAAUCACUUUGUCUAUUUGCAUUAGAUUAUUCUUAAAAAUUGUUAUCCGGCACAGCCAGAAGAGGACUGGCCCCUCAGAGUCUUGUUCCUCUCUAUGUUUCUUCCAAGGUUUUUACCCUACUUGGGAGUUUUUCCUAGCCACUGUGCAUCAAUUUAUUGUUCUUGCAUGCUCUUUGGAGU